UACGUAGGGUGCGAGCGUUAAUCGGAAUUACUGGGCGUAAAGCGUGCGCAGGCGGUUUUGUAAGCCAGAUGUGAAAGCCCCGGGCUUAACCUGGGAAUGGCAUUUGGGACUGCAAGGCUUGAGUGCGGCAGAGGAGACUGGAAUUCCCGGUGUAGCAGUGAAAUGCGUAGAUAUCGGGAGGAACACCAGUGGCGAAGGCGACUUCCUGGCCUGUUCUUGACGCUGAGGCGCGAAAGCUAGGGUAGCAAACGGG
rnacentral:rRNA from 1 species